UUUGGCGUGUAGUGUAAUCAGUUUUGUUUGGCGUUUGUACGCGUUCUUUUUGCGUGCUUUUACACAAGAUCUGAAACAAUAACGUUACGUGAACGUCACGUAAGUCCUUUUUGGUGGAUUCCGAGGGCGGAUGUCUAAAAGCAAGGAGUUAUUUCCCACGUCGUCGGUCAACCUGCACAACAAAAGGACAGGAUCGGAGAGAUUUUGGACAAAUGUGCGUGCAUUCGCUUGACAAGCACACAAGGAAAACUGCAACUCUUACUCGUCGGCCAAUGGGAGGAUCACAGACCAGCGUGUGGACCCUAAAGACAAAAAAAAAAAAAGGCUUCUGGAUCAGGUCAUGAAGUUGUGUGGACCUAAAAACGAAGACCAUGGUUAAAUCAAGGCGGUAACUGAAAAUCUCCACACAUCUGGAUGAGUACCUGAAAUGAGUAAACAUGAAGUCUUUUGGGCUUGAAGGACGUCGACGAGCAACUCUGUCUUUUUCCACUCCGGCCAGGACAUGAGUUCUGAGAAGAGAGUGGGAACGGUGGAGGAUUUGGUAAGCCUGCACACAAAAUAAGAAGCAGCGUGCUCAAACCCAGUGGACGUCGUUCUCAUGGCUGCAAACAAGGGAAGAAAAAAAAAAAACAUUUAGAAAUGGCCGUUGUAAAUUUCAAGCGUCCUUACCUUGGACAUUGUAGCUCUUCGACACGUGCUGAAACAAAUUAAAAGACAAAAUGAGAUUUACACGGGUUGGUGUUUGUUUGUCUCACCUGUGAUCAGAAGCGGACAGCUUGACAGUGGCCUGCAACAGAAAACGUAAGAAUUGGUAAGUUCAUUCGAUCGUUUAAAAUCAAUUUGCCCAUUCACUUUAAGAUGAGAACCUGCAGACAAUAUUUGAUUAGUUUUAAUGGUGAUCGUUUUUUUUUGCCGCAGCUUACCUCCUGUCAAACGGCGCUCAGGAAUGUUGGCGUCAAUCCUGUUAUGAGAAAGUGCAUGUAAUUCACGCACAGAACAGAUUUGAUGUAUUUAAAUGGGUACCUCAUUCAGUUAAACGCUUGCAUUUGUUUGUGGUCGUCGAAUGAAACUUUAGCACGCGCUUGCUGGUUCGACGUCGACGGCCUCCGUCCUGUUAACAAACAUUUUUAAAAGACACGCUGGCGAGCUUUUAGCACGCUCAAAACGUGAAUUAGUGUCAAAUUGAAGUAAAAAAAGUUGCAGUCGGGAGGUUAAAGAAUUUCGAUGACUUACUUCGUUGUUAAGUGUGGCGCGCAGCAAUCGGGUGGCGACAGGACUGGCAACAGGUUUGAAAAGAACGAUUGCUGAAUUUCCUGCAGUUUAAAUAGGUUUCCGGCAAUGACGUCAUCGUUAAAAUGAAAUUUAGGGGGGGAAAAUGGAAUUUGAAGACGACAUCGAGUGAAAAUGGCUGAGAAAGGUAAAGCGAAAAUCUCGUUGGAAUCGAGCCCGACUCUCCUACAUACGAGGUCAUUUCAUUUGCCACUAGACUAUGGUCAAGAUGACGUCGCAGAUGUAAUCUAGUGUAUUAGACUUAUUUCUCUUCUGACGUAUGGGUAUGUGUUGUAAUAUUGGAUAAGUAUGACUUUUGACACGGAUGUGAAUAGACAAUCCGUGGUCUAAUGGUUAAAGACAUUAAUACGUUAAUGGAGUACCCGGGUUCGAAUCCUGAAUUCAUUAGCAGUUAUUCAGUGCCUGCAUUUAUCUUGACCGAUGCAGAGCUAUGUCGGAAUCGAACCCGGGUUACUUGGGUGGGAGUCAAUGUUUUUAACCAUUCGGCCAUGAGAGAUGGGGUUUCGCGAAAAUUUUUAUGUAUAUGUCCAUCACUAUUUUCCCAUCCGACCAUUUCGCUGCAAAAGGGCACUAUUGCGUCGUGUUGACGUCUUCUUACUCUUUCACCAAUAUUUUUCCAGACUUCAUUUGUUCAUACAUUCAAUCAUUCAUCUACCUACAACAUAGCAUUAUUUCGUCGUGUUGACGGCUUCUCUUUCCCCAAUAUUUUUCUUGAUUUCAUUUGCCCAUACAAUCUUGUCUUCCUCAUGGUGACUCUAACACUGAAUACCAAGAAACAUGCAAGGCAUUUAUGUUGUUUUCUUUAGUUUUAUUCAGGAAAACACAAGCUAUAUGUUCUCAACAACUUUAAAAUAAAUACUGUCAGUUGAAACAUCUGGACAGCCCUUUAGUGUGUUAUCGUAUUUCAAUUUAGGAAGUACAUGAUGAGCUCUUUUCUUGCUCUUGGCAUGCAAAAGAAACAAAUGUGACCAUUUUUCAUGUCAUUAGAAGUGCAGUAGGAAAGAGCAAAUAUCCAUAGCUUGGAGGGGAUGGGACGCCAAAUUGAACUGGCCCACCCAGUGUCACCCUCCAUAAAGCAGCCAGUCAGCUGGGAGCAAUAAAAGGAGGCAGCGUCGAGCCGAGCGUAGCCCACAUUUUCAGACUCCUGAUGUGGGAAUAAUGGACGGGUGGACGCUGAUAGAGGGGCGGCGACCUGAUGAGGGUCCCUCCACAUCGCUGUGGACUUUUGACUCCAAGUGAUCCACCUUUGAAUACCUGUUGAGAGAAAGAGUAUAUGAGUUCUAUGUACAUAUAUACAUUGAAACCAUCAACAUCUAUGCAGAGUGAGCUUCCCUGACACGGUUUUUCUUCUCCUCUUUUGUAAUAUAAAAUGAUGACACCUGACAAUUUUA